AAUUGGAAAUGACAGAAAAACUUGCACCUCUUUAGAUGAUGAUAAGCUAGAGGAAGAAGAAGAGGAAUGAGAAGUUGUGAGGUUUCCAGGUCUUCUAUUCAAGAGCCCACCUCAACAGCUUCAUUAUGUUGCUACCUUUCUGCCUCCCACCUACAAAGAUGAAGAAGAUGAGGAGGAAGAGGAAAAAGAUACUUGUAGAGAACUGACUGCUUUGCACAAAUUUGCUUGUUCUCCAGAGACCAAUGAGAAAGAAUGUGGCAGCAUCUGUAAUUGUCAGAAUGGAGGCACCUAUGAUCUUCUGACUGGCAGUGCCAGAGCCCCCCAGGGGUUCAUGGGAAAACUUGUAAAGACGGAAGGAAGGUCUGGUGCCAGUCAGUAAGAUUACUCCUUAAGUUCUUGGGGUUUCUAAUGGGAAAUAAACUAAGUGAAAGUUGCAUGUGUAUUUUUCAAAAUGGCCUUUUUCUGAAGAAGUAAAAGGCUGUGAAAGCUGUGUCUCUCUCUAUAUAAAAGAGUACAAUUUGUUGUUACACAAUGACAUGUGUAACAACAAAAUAAGUGAUACUUAAAUCUCCAACUGUGAUCUAAGCAGGAUGAAUCCUCUUACAGAGAAAGCCUUUUUCUUCUACCGAGCAAAAACUUACAUUUAUGUGUACAGGUUUAGAUGUAGGAGCUUAGGAGAAGUUAUUUUCUCUGCAUAACAAAAUGAAGAACAAUGGAGCUCCUUGGGGAAACCAGGGAGGAAGACAGAUGAAAAUUAGAGAAGAAAAGGGGAGGAGGUAGAGAGAAAAAGAGAAAAAGAGAUGAUAGAUAAAAAACUCACAAAAUACCAAUGAGUACUGUGCAUAGAUUGUGUGUGUGUGUGUGUGUGUGUGUGUGUGUGUGUGUGUAUGUGUGUGUGUGUAAACCAGUGAAGAGGCAACAAUUCCUACAUGGGUUAAUAAAGCACAAAAAAAGAACCUGAUUGUACAGGCACAAAAGCUGAAGGCACAGAGUCAAUGAGGAUGUAAGUCUCUAGGGAUUGCCAGAAAUCAUGAGGAGUUUAUUAGCUUCUCACAGUUGAUGGAAUUGGGGAGUUGGAAACCAAGUUUACUUCACUUUCUGAGAUGCAGUAAGGUUCCUGCUGGCAUUUCAGUUACUUAUCUUUGUGAGCAAUGUUCAUUUAUUUAUUUAAAAAAUACAUUAAGUGGUUGCAAGGAAUGGCACCAGACAUUAUGAUAUGAUAGCAAAAAGGAAAAAAAAAUAUAUUAUUGUGCUUCCAUGUGGAACAUGUGAUUUUGUUCAAGGCAACCAUAAAUUACAAAUACUGGUAGGGAUUACAAGUUAGAUAUUAAUAUGUGGUUGGAGGUGAGACCAUGAGGACAAUGCAGACUGUAUGAGCCUGGGACAGAGACUUAUGGAGAAGGGACAUUUAAGCAAAAGCCUGCAAAAUGUGGAGAGAUAAAACAUGGGAAGAGUGGGGAAAGGGCUUUCCUGAUUAAGAGGCAACAGGAAGGCAUGGGAUGCACUAUGAAACCUGCAGAGGCCAGCGGAGCACAGGCAGACAGGCAGAGGGUAGUGCAACAUGAGGUCAGCAAGCUCAGGGGCCCCAGUCUUAUUAAGUUUGGUAUUUUUGACCUGACAGCAAUGACGAGUCAUUGUAGGAUUUUAAGCAGAGGAUACAGAAUCAUCUUGGUGGUUUUUAAAAGAUCUCUCUAGCCUCACUUCAACCAGAUUAGAAACGUUUCACCUUUCUCAAUCUCCUGACUUCCUAUAACAAUAACUCUAGCAAGUUUUACAUGUGGGUUAAUAUUUUCUUCAUUUGUCCUCUCACCCUCCAGGAUGGACAAAAGGGUUCUUUUGGAAGAACUGCAAAAGGAAAUGUAACUGUGCCAACAAUGGCCAUUGCCACAGGGUGUAUGGCACCCAUAUGUGUGAGGUGGUUUUGUCAUCUGCGUAACUUGCAGGCAAUUAAUUUGCUCUGUGCGUAAAACAUGAAAGCACAGAAAAGUGCAGAGACUACUGUCACACAAAGGAAGAGGACUAAUGCCUCUGAAAAUCUUUCCUGACUGAACUUCAGUAUUUUAGUCCAUUUGGGCUGCUACAACAGAAUGCCGUAAGCCAGGUUGUACAUAAUCAACAAAUACUUGUUUCUCAUAGUUCUGGAGACUGGGAAGACUAAAAUCAAGACAUCAGAUUUGGUAUCUGGGGAGGGCUUACUUGUUGGUUCUUAGAUGGCAUCUUUUCACUGUGUUCUCAUGCAUGGUGGAAGGGGCAAGGCAGUUCUCUGGGGUCUCUUUUAAGAGCACUAAUUUUAUUCAUGAAAGCCCUACCUUCAUGACAUAAUCACUUAAUCACUGCUAAUACCAUAGCCCUGGGAGUUAGGAUUUUAACGUAUGAAUUUUGGGAGGACAAAAACAUUCUAACCGUAGAACGACUCAAUACCAUAGCCAUCUCUUAAUAACAGACACCUUUUAGAGUCUUAUGUUUUAUUUUUAGUGAAUGUCCAUGAUUCUUGUCUAUUUUAUAAAAGCCGUAUCCAUAGGAAAGAUAAAUUAUAAAUAUAUCAAUAAGAGAGUCAGUGAAGCCAUCUCAGAACACUGAACCUGGAGCAUGAGGAAACAUUAGGCUUAGACAAGCAACAUAGAAGAGAAGGGGAAAGGUGUGGGAAACCAUGAGCAAUAGAGGUGCAGAUGGUAUGUUCCAGAAUGUUAUAUACCUCCUAGGAUAUGCCAAGAGAAGAAGACUGACCUAGAAAAAAAGAUAAUAUUUGUAUUAUUGUUCCCCUAGUGUAACAAGACACAUCCUACUUUUAGUAUUAACUUUAGAAUAUGUAAAAAGGUUACAUCAGAUAUUAUGGCAAAAAUAAUUGAAUCAUUAUUGAUCUGGUCAAAAACCUAAAGGGCUAACUUUUCAGAAACAUCAGGUUGAAGUUUUUAGGGUUUAAUAAUAUUGGCAUAGUAGAUAUUUAUUCAUUUGCAUGCUGUGAGGAGUUGAGGCACAGGAAAAAAUUCAGCAAAUAUGUUUGUUGUGUUGUUGUUGGUGGUGGUAGUUAGCAUUGUGAAUAUGACUAUCUUUAGGAAAAACAGAUACAUUCUAGUUCUUUGUGGCUCCCUUAUUGCUUGGACUUGAAGAUUUAUUGAUUAAUAUCACUUUCCUGGACUUCAGGAACUUGAGUUUGCAACUCUAUAUAUUCUUUUUUUAGUCCCGCCAUAACAAAGUACCACAAACUGAAUGGUUUAAACCACAGAAAUUUAUUGCCUUGUAGUUCUGUAAGCUAGACAUCCAAGAUCAAGGUGUCCACAACCCCCUGAAGGUGCUAGGGACAGAUCUGUCCCAGGCCUCUCUCCUAGUUUCUGGUAGUUCCUUGGCUUGUGGCAACAUAACUUCAAUCUUCAUAUGGUACAUGUCUCUGCAUACAAAUACUCCCUAUUUAUAAGGACAGUAGUCAUAUUGAAUUAGAGGCCAUCCUAUUCCAGUAUGACUUCAUCUUAACUACUUAUGUUUGCAAUGAUUCCGUUUCAAAUAAAUUUACAUUCUGAAGUACUGAAGGGUUAGAACUUCAACAUAUGAAUUUUUGGUGAACACAUUUCAAUGCCUUACAACCCCUGCAUGGGCACUGUGUGAGAGAUUACUUCUUUCACUUUUCCUUAUUUCCAAAUAUAUUCCAGUAAGGAGAUGUUCUUAAGAUACAAAUGGUCACAUUUAAGCAUUUCUCUGUGUCUGUGUUGUCUUCUGAACCAUAAUUCUAUGUGCUGAACCAGAAAGAAUAGGGCAUGAAGGACAAUCCUGAGCAAGGAUUUAGGAAUGAGCAAGAAGAGACCUACAUUAAGGCAGGCAAUGGCCUGAGAGACCCUGGGACCUGGUGGGUGUAGGAAAGGAUCCAAAACUUGGAAGCCAUAGAAAAGGAAAUAGAGGAUCAUAUAAUUUGUUAUCUCCAUUGGGAAACCUGAAAAAGACUCUGUUAACUUUAGAGGUAACUCUGUACUAUCCCUGGCAACUGGGACUAGGAUGGUCCUACAUGGUGGCAUCAUAACCAUCACUUGGAAUGAUCUCUACCAAUGUCUCUUUCCAUCCACUGGAAAGUCAAGUGUUCUCUCUAAGCAGCUUUCUACAGCAAAGCCUAUGUGGGCACACAAUGCAAUUACCUUGAGCCUGGAGGCCAACUUGAAGGAUUUUUUACUUGAUAUGUCACUUGGACAUCUGUAAUAGGGGAGAAAAAAAUGUCAGAGGGAUAUUUCAGAAAAGGAAUUGAAUUGCUGUAACACUUCUCAAAGAGAAAACUAUGGAUAUGUUUUCCUGAAUGCAAAGGUGCGACUUUUUCGUAUUAGAAUUCCUGUGCUGCCUUCCAUCCCUAAUACUCAAUGGCAUAGAGAAAAUAAUGAAAGGAAGGCAAGUACCAUUUGCCAAAGAUGUGGCCAAGAUAACGCUGCUGUCACCAUGAAAGCUUUGUGUUAUCUACACGAUGUAAAAUUAUUUCCGAUUACCAUAGAAUAGAAGGGAAUGAAAAUAACGGCCAGCCUUCUCAUAAGUGCUUGUCCGUCAUCUCCAUGCUGCAGCAGGAUGAAUAUGGGGCCUGGCAGGCCUUAGCUUUCUUUGGAGAAUAUUAACUAUAGGCACCAAUGGAGCACAUUGAGAAGCAAUUUCUCUCCCGGAAGCACCAAAGCCUUUUAAGUAGUUCAGGCUUCACUGUUCACGUCCAGUUGCCAAAAAGCAAAUGAAUUGCCUGAUUUAAAAGACAUUUGUUUCCUUAUUUUUUUUUUGGCAGUCAGGAUGAUCCUCUUGUUUUCCCCAUAAUCAGGCCCCACAGAACUACAUGCCUAUGCACUAACAAUUUAAAAUAAACAAAGCGUGGUUUUCAGGUGACCGCUUUGCCUCAAUUUGCUUGCACACUGUCCCAAGGGUGCCUACGGAGCUGGCUGCACUUCAGAAUGUCAGUGUGUGGAGAAGAAUACCCUGGAAUGCAGUGCCAAAAAUGGUAGUUGCACCUGCAAAUCUGGUUACCAAGGCAACAGAUGCCAGAAAGUCUGCCCAGAUGGCCUCUGGGGACCAGAGUGCUGGUUCUCCUCUGCACCCUGUGAAAAUGGAGGUCAGUGCAACAACAACAAAAAACUGGAAAUUGUGACUGCACUCCUGGUUACACAGGAAAAUCCUGUACCAUAUGAUACCCAAAAGGCACGUAUAGUCCAUAUUGCCAAAAGAUGUGUAAGUGCCUGAAUCGUGGCAUCUGUAACACCAUGAUUGGCACCUGUAUCUGCCCUCCUAGCUUCACUGGGGCCGACUGAAGUCAAACUUGUCCUGAAGAUCACUGUGGGCAGAACUGUGUUCAACGGCUUCCUGUGGCCCAGGACAAGGUGACCCAGUGACUGGAGUGUGUCAGUGUCCACCUGGCCGAAUGGGAACCAGGUGUCAGGAAGGUAACAAUGAUGGCAAGGUCACCUUCUCUGUCCAGGCACUAAUUUAGCUACGCUGCAAAAGUAGAUUUGGUGCCAACGAAGAUAAUUAUAUGCGCAAUACUUACAAGAAUUUUUUCUUUUAGUGUGGCUUUCAAAUAACAUGAAAGUACAUGCUCCCGGGCCCGGCGCAGUGACUCACGCCUGAAAUCCCAGCACUUUGGGAGGCUGGGGAGGGCGGAUCACGAAG